AGCAAAGCAAUACAGCAUAGUGGCUAAGAGCAGGAACUACGGCACCAAACUCCCUGGCCUUGGGGAAACUACUUGAGCUGUCUGUGACUCAGUUUUCUCAUCUGUCAAAUGGGGAUAAUAAUAGUUGCUGCCUCAUAGGAAUGUUAUGAAGUUUACCUAAGGGCCUGGCUAGGGUAAGCUCUCAAAAAGGUUGGCUAUUUGGCUAUUAUUAGUAGGUGCUCAAGAACUGUUUAUUGAAAGGCUGAUGAAUAGAUUUUAGUGUGUGAUAGUCUCAGGAAGUCUGGCUAAUAUGAAGGUGUUUAUUUGGUUCAGAAUGCCUGUUCUCGACCUACCUAUAAUUAGUUUCUAUGACUAGGUUACUAUUAAGUUGAGAGGAAUUAUUUUCCUGUGAUGGUCAAUGUCCUGAAACACUAGAGGUUAAAUGCUACUUAUGCUUUGAACAUUCAAGUGGAAAUUAUUUUGUUGGUUUUAGUAACAUGGAUGAGUUCUAAGGUAAGUAGUUGGUCAAAAGUAUAAGUUUUCCUGUAAAGCAGUGACCAGAAAUAUCUGAGCUGCGGCCUCUGAGAAUGUUUGGAAAUAUUUCCUUCAAGUCUUACUUCUCCCACCCUAAAAGAAUCUGUGUUGUUGGCCUUUUGUUGGGGGAAAUUCAACUAAAUGAAGGUAAAACCUCUGACGAAAGAGCCCUAUCUUAUUCUUUGCAUCCCAUUCAGCUUCCAGAACAGUCCUGGCCCCACAACGUUGCCCACUAAAGAUCUAGAGCUCACUCUCUGAAAUUCCCAUGUGAUCAUCGCUGGACCCUAAGGAAAGUGUUAGUUAUGUAUGCAUUUCAUUUCUGACUAUGAGAUUUAAAAAAAUAUGUGAAACAACAUCAUUUUCUGUCAAGAGGAUUGGAUUAGGGAGACCUAUGGCUGAGUGUCACCUCUGCCUUCCAUUAGAUGAAUGACCUUCAUGUCUUCAACCACUCUGAACUUCUCCUUCCUCAUCUGAAUGUGAAGCAGUUGGACAUUAAUUAUGAUAAUAGCAAGGAUACCGUAUAUGCAUAUUUGUCUUUGGUCCCGAGCUAACAUUUGCACCAAUCUUCCUCUAUUUUAGAUAUGAGAUGCUGCACAGCAUGGCUUGAUGAGUGGUAUGUAGGUCUGCUCCUGGGAUCCGAACCCACAAACCCCGGGCCGCUGAAGCAGAGCAUGUGAACCCAACCACUACACCACCAGGCCAACCCCCAAGGAUACCACUUUUGACUGCUCACCAUGUGAUGACACUGUGCUGAGUGUGGUGGUAUAUCCUCGCCUAAAUUGCCACAUCAUUCUCAACAGUAGCUGCCUCGACCUCCCCAUGUUACAGGUGACAUUUGAGAUGUAAAGAAAAAGAAGACGGGUUCUUUGCCCUCAAGAAACUUAUGCCCUGCCAAGAGGAGGAGCAGUUUGUAGCAGCAACAGUCACACCAUGCCCAGCAGCUCACCGAGCAUGCCCCUCCUUCAGGAUCCUUCCGUUCUACAUUUAUAUGACCCAUAGGGGCCCCAAAAAGUGAUCCUUCCCGGAUAAAAAGGCCAGUUCCAAGGGUCACCUGACAGCUGUAAUGUCAAAAAUAUCAAAUGGGAAUCACUCUUACUCCAAUUGUUUUCCAUAAAUUAAAAAACAAAGUCAAUUUUGACAAGCCCUUUA